rnacentral:rRNA from 1 species
CCUACGGGUGACAGCAGUGAGGAAUAUUGGUCAAUGGACGAGAGUCUGAACCAGCCAAGUAGCGUGAAGGAUGACGGCCCUAUGGGGGGUAAACUUCGUUUAUAAAGGAAUAAAACGAGGCACGUGUGCCUUUUUGCAUGUACGUUAUGAAUAAGGAUCGGCUAACUCCGUGCCAGCAGCCGCGGUAAUACGGAGGGGCCGAGCGUUGUCCGGAUUUAUUGGGUUUAAAGGGAGCGUAGAUGGGUUGUUAAGUCAGUUGUGAAAGUUUGCGGCUCAAACGUAAAAUUGCAAUUGAUACUGGCAGACUUGAGUGCAGUUGAGGUAGGCGGAAUUCGUGGUGUAGCGGUGAAAUGCUUAGAUAUCACGAAGAACCCCGAUUGCGAAGGCAGCUUACUAAACUGUGACUGACAUUGAUGCUCGAAAGUGUGGGUAUCAAACAGGAUUAGAUACCCCAGUAGUC